rnacentral:sRNA from 1 species
AUACUUCCCUCAAUGGGUGGUGCAGUAUUCUAGUCAGUCCGCCGUUUCCGAAGGUGGGCCUAAAAAUCCACUAAAGGGCAUAUCGAUGAAGUUCCUGGUUUAGGCUUGAGGCGCCCAGCUUUGGGCUUUUUCUGGGAGUAAGGUUUGCGGGCGAUCCACAAUGGCAUGUGGGCGAUGACCCGCUUACCGCGGAGGCUUUCAUUUACAGCUGGCAUAAAGCAUAUGCAGGUGAAUGAUUGUAUAACCCUGCGGAAGUGAUGACAAUCAGCCGCAGCGUAGCCUGCCUUGAGUGGAAGGUGAGGGGAUUAUGGUUACAGAGAACACAUUAGUUGGCCAUUAAUAUGUUCUUUUCAGUCCGUAUGAAAUCCUUUCUGCAAAAGAGGAUAAGGAAUCUGGAUCAGGGCUGCCGGGGAAAUCCCCUAGACUGUACGCACACGUGUUCAGAGGAUUAGAGUGCGGACUAAGUGGUAAUCCAGUCCGGCAGCGGGAAACCCUGCCGAAUUCGGUAUAAUGGGAAACCGCCAGUAUGGCAACAGCUGGUGUCGAAUUGGGAAAACCUACUGGACCUAAGCCGUAAUGUUAACUCUGAUCACGACCACCCCUUUAUUUUUGUUA